UGGGGAAUAUUGCACAAUGGGCGCAAGCCUGAUGCAGCCAUGCCGCGUGUGUGAAGAAGGCCUUCGGGUUGUAAAGCACUUUCAGCGAGGAGGAAGGUGGUGAGCUUAAUACGCUCAUCAAUUGACGUUACUCGCAGAAGAAGCACCGGCUAACUCCGUGCCAGCAGCCGCGGUAAUACGGAGGGUGCAAGCGUUAAUCGGAAUUACUGGGCGUAAAGCGCACGCAGGCGGUUUGUUAAGUCAGAUGUGAAAUCCCCGGGCUCAACCUGGGAACUGCAUUUGAAACUGGCAAGCUAGAGUCUCGUAGAGGGGGGUAGAAUUCCAGGUGUAGCGGUGAAAUGCGUAGAGAUCUGGAGGAAUACCGGUGGCGAAGGCGGCCCCCUGGACGAAGACUGACGCUCAGGUGCGAAAGCGUGGGGCAGCAAACAGGAUUAGAUACCCUGGUAGUCCAGCGCUGUAAACGAUGUCGAUUUUGGAGGUUGUGCCCCUUGAGGCGUGGCUUCCGGAGCUAACGCGUUAAAUCGACCGCCUGGGGAGUACGGCCGCAAGGUUAAAACUCAAAUGAAUUGACGGGGUCAUAGCUGUUUCCU
rnacentral:rRNA from 1 species